ACUUGGAUUCUCUCGGGUAGAAGCAGCAGAGAUACAAGAUCUAGAAGACUAGCUCCUUUGUGAGAGUGGAUUCAGGUUCCUCCUGCCUCUGGACCUCACCGAGCCUCGGCUUUCUCGUCUGUUACGUGGGAACAACAGUCGUGAUCAUCAUCAUUUAUUGAGAACUUUCUAAAAUGCCAGCUGAGGAGAGGCACAGAGGUGGAGGUGAUCAGACCAGCGUCACACCACUUGUACGACACUAGAUUCUUCACAGGUCUUCCUAAGACUCAGCAAUUCCCAAGGAGGAGGACAAAAUGUCCAAGUUCAAGGAGGCAGUGACCUUCAACGAUGUGGCUGUGGUCUUCACAGAGGAGGAGAUGGGGCUGCUGGACUUGGCCCAGAGAAAGCUGUACCAGGAAGUGAUGCUGGAGAACUUCCGGAACCUGCUCUCAGUGGGUCAUCAAUCCUUCACACCAGAUGUACCAUCCCAGUUAGAAAGAGAAGAAAAGCUGCAAAUGAUAAAGACAGCAGCCCAGAGCUGUUGUUCCUCAGGAAAUCAGAAUCUAAAUGCCAUAGAGACUCUUGGAGAAGUUGGAUUAAUGUAUCUGCCCCACGAAGAGUUUUUCUCUCAAAAAUCUGGCUACAAGUUACAGAGGAAUUAACCAGGUGUCGAGAUUCCAUGGAAAUUAUUCAAGGAAUAGGUUCUCAAUUGGAAAAACAAAAUGACACACUCUAUAAAGAUGAGUUCAGUAAAGACUUCACUCAGAGUUCACAUCUUCAAGUUCAGUGCAGAGACUACACUGGAGGAAAACCCUAUGAAGGGGUGGAGUGUGGGAAGGAUUUCAUAUGGGGCUCUCACCUUCAAAUGAACCAGACAGCCUCCACAGGAGAGAAGCCCUAUAAAUGUGAAAAAUGUGAAAACACCUUCCGUCGGUUUUCAAGUCUUCAAGCCCAUCAGAGAGUCCACAGUAGAGCAAAACUGAAUAAUCAUGAGACGUCACAUACAGGUUUUAGUCAGAGGUCAUAUCUUCAUCAACAUCAAAGAGUCCCCACUGGAGAGAAUCCACACAGAUUAGAGGAGUGUGGGAGGAACAUCAGAAAAAUCUCACAUUUUCAGGCUCCUCUGAUAGCCCACCCAUUGGAGAAACCCUAUAAAUGUGAGGAAUGUGGGCUGGGCUUCAGUAAGCGCUCCUAUCUCCAUGUCCAUCAGAGAGUUCACACGGAAAAGAAACCUUAUCAAUGUGAAGAUCUUAAUGUUCAUUGUGGAAUCCACACAGGAGAGAAGCCCUAUAAAUGUGAGAAGUGUGGGAAAGGCUUCGGCUGGGCCUCAAGUCUUCUGGACCAUCAGAGAGGCCAUAGUGGUGAGAAACCCUAUCAAUGCGAUGCAUGCGGAAAGGGCUUUAGUCGUGGCUCAGAUCUUAACAUUCACUUUAGAAUCCAUACAGGAGAGAGACCUUACAAAUGUGAGGAGUGUGGGAAAGGUUUCAGGCAGGCCUCGCAUAUUCUGGCCCAUCAGAGAGGCCACACUGGAGAAAAACCGUACAAAUGUGGUACAUGUGGGAAGGGCUUCAGCCGGAAUUCACAUCUUAACGUUCAUUCUAGAAUCCACACAGGAGAGAAGCCCCAUAAAUGUGAGAUGUGUGGGAAGGCCGUCAGUCAGUUCUCAAGCCUUCAAGUGCAUCAGAGAGUCCACACUGGAGAGAAACCAUAUCAGUGUGCAGUGUGUGGGAAAGGCUUCAGUGUGGGCUCACAGCUGCAGGCCCAUCAGAGGUGCCAUACUGGAGAGAAACCCUACCACUAUGAGGAAUGUGGGAAAGGCUUCUGUCGGGCCUCAAAAUUUCUGGCUCACCGUGGAGUCCACACAGAAGAGAAACCACACCAAUGUGAUGUGUGCGGUAAGCGCUUCAGACAGAGAUCAUACCUUCAAGCCCACCAGAGGGUUCACACUGGAGAGAAACCAUAUAAGUGUGAGGAGUGUGGUAAGGUCUUCAGUUGGAGCUCCAAUCUUACCAUUCAUCAGCGACUCCAUGCUGGGGAUGAGGGUGACAAGGACUUUGCCUCAGCAGAGAAUACAUACAGCAGAGAAUCUUUAUAAAAUUGCAUGUGUUAAUAUCUCACAUGCGUGCUGAAAUAGUCCUGUCAUAGAAAACAAAACAUUUAUCUCCUUGAGAACUUGCAAAGUGUCAUGGUGGUUGGGUGACCACACAGCAGAGAAGUCUCAUGAGUGUAGAGACAGAGAGCUUCACUCAUAACCUUCACAUUUAGCAGAUAACUACACGGAUGAGAGGUGUGGGAAGGAUGGAUCCGAUCUGGAGGGAACCAAAUGUUCUAAGACAGAAAUGCCUGAAUCUCUUCCACUAGAAUAAAAGCUCCCAGAAGGCAUGGACUUUGUUUACAGCAAGUCCACUUUGCCUUUUCAGUGCCUACCACACUGCAGGUGUCGAGCAAUGUGAAAUAAGUGAAAGGGAGAACAGUCACUUUUGAAAUUUUUAUUGAGUUCCUCUCUAAAAUUUUCUAUAAACUUGUAGACAGAGGAAUUUUCUAAGGAUUGGAGGAUUACAUUAGACACUUGGGGUCAUCUUCCCAACCCUGAAGGUCUUGUGAACUAGUGCUUAUCAAACUGAAGGUGAUAACCCAUUAGUGAGUCCAGAACCACCAGGUUGUGUAUGGGCAGCAAUUUUGUAUGUUAACAGUUCCUUAUUGAGAUGUAAUUUGCAUGCAAGCACAUGCAUAAAUCUCAUGUUUACAGCUUCAUGAAUUUUGACAAAUGUAUCUACUUGUGUAAUCACGAAAAUCAAUAUAUACCACAUUUCUAUUAAACCUGAAUGUUUCCUUGUGUACCAUUCUUGUGAGUUCCACCUCCAGUGGCAGCAAGUAUGAUAA